CAGCAAUGUCAGACACACACACAGACAGCAAUGUCAGACACACAGACAGCAGUGUCACACACACACAGAGAGCAAUGUCAGACACACAUACAGAGAGCAAUGUCAGACACACAUACAGAGAGCAAUGUCAGACACACACACAUACAGCAAUGUUACACACACAUACAGACAGCAAUGUCAGACACACACACAGCAAUGUCACACACACACACAGAAAUGUCACACACACACAGACAGCAAUGUCACACACACAGAGAUCAAUGUCAGACACACACACAGAGAUCAAUGUCAGACACACAUACAGAGAGCAAUGUCAGACACACACACAGACAGCAAUGUUACACACACACACAGACAGCAAUGUCAGACACACACACAGACAGCAAUGUCACACACACACACACAGAAAUGUCAGACACACACACAGACAGCAAUGUCACACACACACAGAGAGCAAUGUCAGACACACACACAGAGAGCAAUGUCAGACACACAUACAGACAGCAAUGUUACACACACAUACAGACAGCAAUGUCAGACACACACACAGACAGCAAUGUCACACACACACAGAAAUGUCAGACACACACACAGACAGCAAUGUCACACACACACACAGA